rnacentral:rRNA from 1 species
UACGGGAGUGGCAAGCGUUAUCCGGAAUUAUUGGGCGUAAAGCGUCCGCAGGCGGUCUUGUAAGUCUGUUGUUAAAGCGUGGAGCUUAACUCCAUUUCAGCAAUGGAAACUGUAAGACUAGAGUGUGGUAGGGGCAGAGGGAAUUCCCGGUGUAGCGGUGAAAUGCGUAGAUAUCGGGAAGAACACCAGUGGCGAAGGCGCUCUGCUGGGCCAUAACUGACGCUCAUGGACGAAAGCCAGGGGAGCGAAAGGGAUUAGAUACCCCUGUAGUCCUGGCCGUAAACGAUGAACACUAGGUGUCGGGGGAAUCGACCCCCUCGGUGUCGUAGCCAACGCGUUAAGUGUUCCGCCUGGGGAGUACGCACGCAAGUGUGAAACUCAAAGGAAUUGACGGGGGCCCGCACAAGCGGUGGAGUAUGUGGUUUAAUUCGAUGCAACGCGAAGAACCUUACCAGGGUUUGACAUCCUGCGAAUUUCUUGGAAACGAGAGAGUGCCUUCGGGAACGCAGUGACAGGUGGUGCAUGGCUGUCGUCAGCUCGUGUCGUGAGAUGUUGGGUUAAGUCCCGCAACGAGCGCAACCCACGUCGUUAGUUGCCAGCAUUUAGUUGGGCACUCUAGCGAGACCGCCGGUGAUAAACCGGAGGAAGGUGUGGAUGACGUCAAGUCAUCAUGCCCCUUACAUCCUGGGCUACACACGUACUACAAUGCUACGGACAAAGGGCAGCAAACUCGCGAGAGCUAGCAAAUCCCAUAAACCGUGGCUCAGUUCAGAUCGUAGGCUGCAACUCGCCUACGUGAAGGAGGAAUCGCUAGUAAUCGCAGGUCAGCAUACUGCGGUGAAUACGUUCCCGGGCCU